AUUGAACGCUGGCGGCAGGCCUAACACAUGCAAGUCGAACGGUAACAGGAAGAAGCUUGCUUCUUUGCUGACGAGUGGCGGACGGGUGAGUAAUGUCUGGGAAACUGCCUGAUGGAGGGGGAUAACUACUGGAAACGGUAGCUAAUACCGCAUAACGUCGCAAGACCAAAAGAGGGGGGACCCUUUCGGGGCCUCUUGCCAUCGGAUGUGCCCAGAUGGGAUUAGCUAGUAGGUGGGGUAACGGCUCACCUAGGCGACGAUCCCUAGCUGGUCUGAGAGGAUGACCAGCCACACUGGAACUGAGACACGGUCCAGACUCCUACGGGAGGCAGCAGUGGGGAAUAUUGCACAAUGGCCGCAAGCCUGAUGCAGCCAUGCCGCGUGUAUGAAGAA
rnacentral:rRNA from 1 species